rnacentral:rRNA from 1 species
GACGAACGCUGGCGGCGUGCUUAACACAUGCAAGUCGAACGGAAAGGCCCUGCUUUUGUGGUGUUCUCGAGUGGCGAACGGGUGAGUAACACGUGAGCAACCUGCCCUAUACUUUCGGAUAACUUCAGGAAACUAGAGCUAAUACCGGAUAGGAGCUCCUGCUGCAUUGUGGGGAUUGGAAAUUUUCGGCGGUUGGGGAUAGACUCGCGGCUUAUCACUUAGUUGGUGGGGUAGUGGCUUACCUAAGCGUUGGCGGAUAGCCGGCCUGAGAGGGUGACCGGCCACAUGGGGACUAGGGAACGGCCAAGAGUCACACGGGGGGAAGCAGUGGGGAAUCUUGCACAGAGGGAGGAAGCCUGAUGCAGCAGCCCCGCGUGCGGGAUGACCGCCUUCGGGUUGUAAACCGCUUUCGCUUGUGACGAAGCGUUAGUGACGGUAAUGGGUAAAGAAGCACCGGCUAACUACGUG